CAGGAUGGUUCCCAAGCAGGUG
rnacentral:misc_RNA from 1 species